CCUACGGGAGGCAGCAGUGGGGAAUAUUGCACAAUGGGGGAAACCCUGAUGCAGCGACGCCGCGUGAGUGAAGAAGUAUUUCGGUACGUAAAGCUCUAUCAGCAGGGAAGAAAAUGACGGUACCUGACUAAGAAGCCCCGGCUAACUACGUGCCAGCAGCCGCGGUAAUACGUAGGGGGCAAGCGUUAUCCGGAUUUACUGGGUGUAAAGGGAGCGUAGACGGCAGCGCAAGUCUGGAGUGAAAUCCCAUGGCUUAACCAUGGAACUGCUUUGGAAACUGUGCAGCUAGAGUGCAGGAAAGGUAAGCGGAAUUCCUAGUGUAGCGGUGAAAUGCGUAGAUAUUAGGAGGAACACCAGUGGCGAAGGCGGCUUACUGGACUGUAACUGACGUUGAGGCUCGAAAGCGUGGGGAGCAAACAGGAUUAGAUACCCGAGUAGUC
rnacentral:rRNA from 1 species